rnacentral:tRNA from 1 species
CAUUAGAUGGCUGAAAGUUUAAGCAAUGGAAUUUUAAAUCAUCUUAUAGUAAUUAACGACUACUUCUAAUGA